GACAGAGGGUGCAAACGUUGUUCGGAAUUACUGGGCGUAAAGCGCGUGUAGGCAGCUUCGCAAGUCGGAUGUGAAAGCCCUGGGCUCAACCUAGGAAGUGCAUUCGAAACUGCAGAGCUUGAGUUCUGGAGAGGAAGGCGGAAUUCUCGGUGUAGAGGUGAAAUUCGUAGAUAUCGGGAGGAACACCGGUGGCGAAGGCGGCCUUCUGGACAGCAACUGACGCUGAGACGCGAAAGCGUGGGGAGCAAACAGG
rnacentral:rRNA from 1 species